AUUGAACGCUGGCGGCAUGCUUAACACAUGCAAGCCGAACGGCAGCACGGGGAGCUUGCUCCCUGGUGGCGAGUGGCGGACGGGUGAGUAAUACAUAGGAAUCUACCUUUUGGACUGGGAUAACUUGGGGAAACUCAAGCUAAUACCAGAUGAUGCUUACGGGUUAAAGGCUAGGCCUUGUGUCUGGCGCCAAGAGAUGAGCCUAUGCAAGAUUAGCUUGUUGGUGGGGUAAAGGCCUACCAAGGCGACGAUCUUUAGCUGGUCUGAGAGGGCGAGCAGCCACACUGGGACUGAGACACGGCCCAG
rnacentral:rRNA from 1 species